GCCCGGGUGGCGCAACGGCAGACGCAACCGUCUUAAAAACGGUCCUCACCUGCGGGUUCGAAUCCCGUCCCGGGCACCC
rnacentral:tRNA from 1 species